rnacentral:tRNA from 1 species
GGCACUAUGGCCGAGUGGUUAAGGCGAUGCCCGUAAGUUCCUCUAAGAUUUCACAUUCAAAGAUUCGUACUAACGUAUAACAAUAGUGCUAAGGCAUUCCCUUCGGGGGCGAGUGUUCGAAUCACUCUGGUGUCG